GGCUUACCAAGGCGACGAUCAGUAGCCGACCUGAGAGGGUGAUCGGCCACAUUGGAACUGAGACACGGUCCAAACUCCUACGGGAGGCAGCAGUGGGGAAUAUUGCACAAUGGGCGCAAGCCUGAUGCAGCAACGCCGCGUGAGUGAUGAAGGCCUUCGGGUCGUAAAACUCUGUCCUCAAGGAAGAUAAUGACGGUACU
rnacentral:rRNA from 1 species